CCAUCGUGAACUGCUGGUCGCGUCUACUUGGUAUCCAAGCUUAUGAUAUCUGUUAUGCCUGAUUCCGUUGGGUUAUGUUCUUUGGUGGAGUUAAAUGUCAGCAAUGGCCAAAUGCUUCCCUCCACUAGAAGGCGGUCAUGUACAACAGAGAUCAUAAGCUCUGAUACCAUGUGGAUGAGAUUGACAAUUC